GAUGAAGAACGUAGCGAAAUGCGAUACUUGGUGUGAAUUGCAGAAUCCCGUGAACCAUCGAGUCUUUGAACGCAAGUUGCGCCCGAAGCCACUAGGCCGAGGGCACGCCUGCCUGGGCGUCACACGACGUUGCCCCCCCAUCUACUCCUUCGGGAUUGCGGGGGGGCGGAUGAUGGCCUCCUGUGCGCCUAGCCGCGCGGUUGGCAUAAAUACCAAGUCCUCGGCGACGCACGCCACGACAAUCGGUGGUUGCGAAACCUCGGUUGCCCGUCGUGUGCGUUCGUCGCGCAUCGAGGGCUCGAAAAAAUGCUCGGCUCCGGCUGGGCUUUCAACGCGACCCCAGGUCAGGCGGGGUUACCCGCUGAAUUUAAGCAUAUCAAUAAGCGGAGGA
rnacentral:misc_RNA from 1 species